GAGCUGGGUUCCAAGGCCUGGGAACAUGAACUCAGUUUUGAUCCAGUUAGCUGAGACGGCUGGACUCAGAAAACGGUCUCCUAACAGUAGAAAGAGAGCAAUGGGAAGGAUGUAAGAGCCAGGGGACCAUUUGCUGGUCUGCCAAUCAUCUUAGAGUCUCUGCUGAAGAUGCCUGGGCUGGGAAAUCCACUCAGCCAGUGACUGGAAAAGACUGAGAAAUCUUUAUUCUAAAACAUGGUCUGCCCGGGAAAGAUUGAACGCCAAGAAAAAUGGCAAAUAGCGACAACAGUGAAGAGGAGAUGGGCACCCCAGAUGUGGGGACUGUGCUAGUAACUGUGCUUGUGGAAGAAAAACUGGCAAAGGAGGAGAAAGAGACCCUCGAGGACCCUGGCUCUAUUUUACCUGCUGCCCUUGACCAUGUGGUGAUACUCAAAUGACCAUUCUGGAUUCCUAGACCUUGGAACCAAAGCCAAAGAAACUUCUGUGCUUUAUAAGUCACUCAACCAGGAAUACUCAGUUAUAGUAACAGAAAACAAAGCUAAGUCACGCAGGAUGUAAGGAGAUGAGCCCAGAUAGAGAUAUAAGGCUACAGAAUUAAUCAGAUGGAAAAAUCACUCCUGUACCUGUUCAUGUUAGAACUGCAUCAUGUUUUUAUACUGGGAAAAUGUAUUAAAUACAUCCUCUGCCUGUUAUAGAAUGAUGUAACCUCUCUUUUAGACCCAUGCACAUAAGUCUACCCCUAGCCACCUUUCGACCAGACAUUACAGAAUCAGUAGAUAGUUGCUAUUGCUCCAGAAGACAGAUGAUUUUUUUAAAGAGGAUUUUAUAUUUUUGGAACGUUUGCUACGGGUUUUUUUUUUUUUC
ensembl:lincRNA Gm36945 predicted gene, 36945